UAUGACCGAAAAAAAUUUUGUGGUCGUAUAUUGGUAUGACGUUGGCGUCGUCGUCGUCAUCGUCGUCCGAAGACACAUUGGUUUUUGCACUCUAACUUUAGUUUAAGUGUAUGGAUCUCUAUGAAAUUUUACCAUAAGGUUCAAUACCACAAAAGGAAGGUUGGGAUUGAUUUUGGGGGUUAUGGUACCAACAGUUAAGGAAUAAGGGGCCAAAAAGAAGCAUUUUUGUAACUUCCAGACAUUACUUGUGUGUUAGUGUAUGGAUCUCUUUGACAUUGAACCACAAGGUUCCAUAUCACAAAGGGAAUGCUGGGAUUGAUUUUGGGGGUAAUUGCCUCCAAAUUUUAGGAAUUAAGGGCCAAAAAAGGGGCAAAAAACAAGUGUUUUUCUAGUUUCAUGACAAUAACUUGUGUGUAAGUGUAUGGAUCUUUAUGAAAUUUUACCAUAAGGUUCAAUACCACAAAAGGAAGGUUGGGAUUGAUUUUGGGGGUUAUGGUACCAACAGUUAAGGAAUUAGGGGUCAAAAAGGGGCCAAAAAUAAGCAUUUUUGUAACUUCCAGACAUUACUUGUGUGUUAGUGUAUGGAUCUCUUUGACAUUGAACCACAAGGUUCCAUAUCACAAAGGGAAUGCUGGGAUUGAUUUUGGGGGUAAUUGCCUCCAAAUUUUAGGAAUUAGGGGCCAAAAAAAGGGCAAAAAACAAGCGUUUUUCUAGUUUCAUGACAAUAACUUGUGUGUAAGUGUAUGGAUCUUUCUGAAAUUGUACUACAAGGUUUCAUAUUACAAAGGGAAAGCUGGGUUUGAGUUUGGGGGUAAUUGACCUAAACGUUUAGGAAUUUGGGGCCAAAAAGGG